AAUGAUCCUUUUGAGAAGUGCUUUAUAAAUAAACUUUACUGUUAAUAUUAUUGUUGUUUUUAAAUUUAGAGGCUAAAACAAGACGCCUGGAUAAUUUGCAACAGCCACAGUGGCCGCCCACGGUUCAACCUAUAUGGCAUCAAUCUAAUAAAAAAAACAAAUUUAUGCACCAUUAAAUUUUAAUUAUUAUAAAUACUAUAUUUUAAGCAUUGGUGUCCCUGAAAUACUGCAGUAGAAUUAAAAAAAAAAAGUACCCACAAUCAGGACAUAAAGCACCUUGAGGCGACUGCUGUUGCAAUUUGGCGCUAUAUAAAUAAAAUUGAAUUGUAUUGAACAUUAUAGAAAGUUAUGAGAUAUCUACGAUAAGACUGUUUUUCCCCUUUUCUUGAGCUUGUUUUAAAAUUGAUGUUGCCAAGCUCACAAGUGCUUCAACAGCUGUCAGAAAGUCGAAAAACUUUAAUUGAACUUUCAAGAUUUUAUAAUUUCAUGAAGAACAAAGACACUGUAAGACAGUUGCAAUUAAUGCCAUCAGUUUAAUAUAAGAAAAAAAAGAGAAAAAAGUGCAUCAGGCACAGAAAUUGUUUUUAUGGAAAUUGUUUCUUCAAAAUAAAAGCUUUUCAGUACUUGAGAUUUACUAAAAAGACACCCUGUACGGAAAAUCAUAGUUGUUAUUCAAGUCACGAGUCGUCCUCUGCUCUCUCUGUGUUGGUACACACUUUCCUCUCCACUGCUUACUUAACCUAUGAGAUUAAACAUGUGGUCGCACAUCUGAGAAACUGUGCACUUGCUAAAAUAUUAAUGACACACAGCACACUGGUGAGACUUCUGAGCUGCCACAGUGAAUCCCAAUCAUUCCUCAAAGGCAGCCGGCACGGGGCGAUUCAGCUGAUGGUGUCACUGGCUCUGCAGGUUGAACUGAAACAUGACGUGUAGCACAGCCACAUCAUUUGCCCAUGGUUUUGUUAAAGGCUACUACUGUAUUUUAGGAUAUCACAGCAUUAAAAAACAAAAAACAAACAAAAAAAAACAAAACACCAUUCACAACAUUCCACAAUGUGAGCAGAUAUUACUUUUCACAGAAACACUGUGAUCAUCUUAAAAAAAAAACUGAAACACUUAAGAGGAUGAAACGAGCAGUUGUUUAAAGAGUCCAGCACAGUUUGUAUAUCUUAGCUCUUAUGGCCUACGCUAGAGGUUAAAGAACUACCACAAAGCCAUACCUGUGCAGCCUCCUCUCUCCUCCAGAUGCAUUUUAGGAAUGAGACAUCCUUAAAAACGGCACACUUGAGACAGGAUUUCCAGGGAGGACAGAGGAGACGAGAAGUAACACAUUAGAGAAACACAUACGUGCCCAUGCUACAGUAUUGCUUGGCCUGUUGGUGCUGUGGACAACUGAUAUACUUAAUCACAGGGAGAACAGUAAAACAAUAAGCGAUGUUGUUCAUAUGCUAAAAAUGGAUUUUAGCCUGUUGCUAGCUGGUUGCUCAACAUGCAUAAUUCAGAUUUUGUGGAUAUAAAUAAGUUAUGAAAUUAAAGCUAAUUUUAUAAGGUGUUAUAGGAAUGUAAAGGCUAAAAAGCAGUCAUUUGAGCCUCUUGCUAGGUGGUUGCUAGGCAAUACCAGGACCUAAUAAUACCUGACAUAGAUGAGAACCUUCAGAGGCCUUCAAGAUGUACCUUUGUGCCAAGUUUGGUGGCUCAAGUGAUUGUGUGGGAGGAAUUCACAGAUAAUGACAAACCCCUUCAUCCAGUUUCACCUGUGUGACUUUAAUAUGGCCACAGACUAUUGCUGUGCUUGGGACAAUUAUCAAGCUAUGGAAUAGUUUAAUAAUAGUUUAAGUUUGAGAGCUCCAAUGUGGUAUAAUGUGUUUGAAACUGCCUCUGCUUGGAGUAUGUGGUGCAUGCUCCAGGCAGCGCAAUAGAAGAACUCAAAC
ensembl:lncRNA